rnacentral:misc_RNA from 1 species
UCCGGUUUGUCACCGGCAGUCUCCCUAGAGUUCCCACCAUUACGUGCUGGCAACUAGGGACAAGGGUUGCGCUCGUUGCGGGACUUAACCCAACAUCUCACGACACGAGCUGACGACAGCCAUGCAGCACCUGUGCGCGAUCUCCGAAGAGGGGCUCUCGUUUCUGAGAGCUUGCUCGCGCAUGUCAAGCCUAGGUAAGGUUCUUCGCGUUGCGUCGAAUUAAACCACAUGCUCCACCGCUUGUGGUUUAAUUCGAUGCAACGCGCAGAACCUUACCUGGUCUUGACAUGUCCGGAACCUUGCAGAGACGCGAGGGUGCCUUCGGGAA